rnacentral:rRNA from 1 species
AUCUGGGCGGCGAAAUUCAGGAUGACUGGUGGUUUUACCGCUGGUCCAUCCAUUGGAUAUUUUCGUCGCUGUAUCAGAGGUCGCGUUCUGUUUGUGGUGGGUCCCUGCUGGGAGGAGUGCCAAUGGGGUUGGUGUAAGAGGCGUUUCGGCGUGUUAUACGGCAAAGAUGCGAAUCUCUGGCUGACAAUGGACAGUAUGCAAAGGUGGCUGAUGCUGUGUCAUGUGCGCAGUAUUGGUACUGAUCUGCGACGAUCUCUUCGGGCCUCUUUCCGACCCGUCUUGAAACACGGACCAAGGAGUCUAACAUGCGCGCGAGUCGCGGGGUAUCGAGCGUACUACGGUGCGUUCGUUCAUUAUGAAACCCGUAUGUUGAAGGCGUAAUGAAAGUAAAUUGGGAAGAUGGUGUUCCGAGUAUACGUACCGUGAAAUUCGCGGCCGGACAUCCGCAUUCCCGGGGCGUCUCAAUGGCUCAUCGCGAGUGCAGAUUGUCGUCUCUCGGGGUGGCAGUCGGUUUGCGAUGGUCCGA